rnacentral:lncRNA from 1 species
GUGUCAUUUUCUUCCUUCCAAGUGCCUACAGCAUAGUUUAGGUAGUGGAAGAAAUAGCAUGACAAACUGUCCCCAAUAGGCUUGUGGGUUGUCCCCUUUUGACAUUGCACCUUUUGGUAGUCUGGCAUUCAUCUGUGCUAAGCAUUAUUCCUCCCAUCUACUGUUAAGCAUUUGGCCUAAAUCUAUGUGAUAUAGAAAUGUGUCUAACUUUAAACCUUUGAACUAUUAUUCUGACUGCAGUAUGAUUACUAUUUAGCAACAACAGACCCCAGAGGAUUGGACCAAAAACUCUGUUCUAGCUAUUUUUAGCUGUUCCAUUGUUCCAGCUAUUUUUAUAAUUGUGUUUUUUCGUAGUUCAUAAAGUCAUAGGUGGCAAGGUACAGGCAUGCACAAGAAGUUGUGUACAACUGGCUUUCAGUACAUGAGGUCUAGGUUUACAUCCCUGCCCUGUCUCAGCAUGAUCUAUGUUUUAGAGCAGAGUUUUCAAGUUAGGGCAGCUAUUUCUGGAUCUUAUCAUGGCCUUGAAAUGUUGCAGCAGCCUUGGAAGAAUUUUAGGAAUGUCCCCAAGGAAGCAAUGAAUUUCUGAUUUGCAUAGAAAGGGACAGAGGUAAGGAGAGAGGAAGAGCCUGCUUAUGCACAUUUAAUUCCUGAUAUUGCUCUCCAGAACUCAAUGGGAAGAGACCUGUGACAUGAAACCUGUACUGCUGAAUGAGGAGCACACCAGAAAUGUGAAUCAUCACAGAUAACAUGAUACUGGAUAGGAAUCUAAAACUCAAGACUGUGAUGAAUGCCAGAGAGAGAGAGAAGUUUCAUCUUGCACUCAAAGGUAGUCAGAAUACUGGAGUAGGGUGCAGUUGGUACAUGAAAGUGACUGUAAUCUUCUGCUAGCUUUAGGAUCCAAUUCUAUGAUAUACAUCAAGUCAAGGGGGUGUUUCUAGGAUGAUGUUCCCUGUCACCAAUAUGCUGGGCAACUUUAAGGCACAUUAGACUGCCAAGAACUUUUAGAGACCAGAGUUCUUUAAGAAGGUAGUUGGUUAGAACUCAGUUCAAAUUACAGUUUAUUGUUUUGUUUUUCUCUCUUCUACUUGCUUCCAACCCUGAAAUUAGGAUUUAAGAUUUUCUUCUUCUUGACUAAGCUUGCACUAAUUUUCCCCAUCAUCUUUCAAGUGCUAGAGUUGAGGCCAAGGGAGGCUGACAAAUUCAGCUCACGUUCUGUCACUGGAGGUAAAGUAUGCAAACACCAGUCUAAUGUUCCCUCCAUAAGUUGCACCCUGACAUGAGACUGAAUGCUCUCAGCCAUGCUGGAAGGGUCAUUGGGGGCCUGGGAUUGCGAAGUGCUGUAUUGAGAAAGUUGUUCCUGGCAGGCACAGAGAACACCCCUUCUUCCAGGAACAGGUAACAAAGAGAGACCCCUCAUAGCAGACCCCCAGGGAACCAUUCAUACCACUCCAUGGUUUCAAGUGAAAAUGCAGCAGUUCUCAGGACAGAAGUGAAGGCUGAAAUUAAAAUAAUCAACAGAAAAUGGACCAUACUGAUUUGUGAGAUUAUGUUUGAAAAAACUAUUUACAACCCUUUUCUACAAAGUUGCUACUACUGUGAAAUAUUCUGUGGAAGGUGUUUUCAUUAGAAUAACAAAAGGUAAUUCCUUUAUUCUAAACAUUUUUGCAGAAUUAGGUCUUUAGUAAACCCUUCCAUCUGAGACUCUCUGCUGUAAAAUACUAAUCUGUUCUACUUAUUCUGGAAGGUAUCCUGUAGUUUACUCACACCAGUAGGUGUUAACGCUGUGUUUGUUUGUUUGUUUGUUUGUUUUUUAGUCAUUUCACUCCAUAAAUCAUCUCACUAUUCUGUCAUGCUUCAAGAAAAUCACCAUGGAAAAUGUUUUAAAGUCUGGUUAUAAGCAGACCCAGGCUUGGAGUAGGCCAUUAAUGCUAAAGUACAGACUAGCCAGGUUAUAUUAAUGAAGAUUCUCCAUAAAUGAACAGAAUGCAGACAAUAAAAAUAGGUAUAUAUAAAAACUAAGACA